CCCUUCGGGGUGAGCGGCGGACGGGUUAGUAACGCGUGGGAAUAUACCCUUUGGUACGGAAUAGCCUCUGGAAACGGAGAGUAAUACCGUAUGUGCCCUUCGGGGGAAAGAUUUAUCGCCAAAGGAUUAGCCCGCGUUAGAUUAGGUAGUUGGUGGGGUAAUGGCCUACCAAGCCUACGAUCUAUAGCUGGUUUUAGAGGAUGAUCAGCAACACUGGGACUGAGACACGGCCCAGACUCCUACGGGAGGCAGCAGUGGGGAAUCUUGGACAAUGGGGGCAACCCUGAUCCAGCCAUGCCGCGUGAGUGAUGAAGGCCUUAGGGUCGUAAAGCUCUUUCGCCUGUGAAGAUAAUGACGGUAGCAGGUAAAGAAACCCCGGCUAACUCCGUGCCAGCAGCCGCGGUAAUACGGAGGGGGUUAGCGUUGUUCGGAAUUACUGGGCGUAAAGCGCACGUAGGCGGAUCGGAAAGUUGGGGGUGAAAUCCCGGGGCUCAACCCCGGAACUGCCUCCAAAACUAUCGGUCUAGAGUUCGAGAGAGGUGAGUGGAAUUCCGAGUGUAGAGGUGAAAUUCGUAGAUAUUCGGAGGAACACCAGUGGCGAAGGCGGCUCACUGGCUCGAUACUGACGCUGAGGUGCGAA
rnacentral:rRNA from 1 species